UUAUCCGGAUUUACUGGGUGUAAAGGGCGUGUAGGCGGGACUGCAAGUCAGAUGUGAAAACUAUGGGCUUAACCCAUAGCUUGCAUUUGAAACUGUAGUUCUUGAGUGGUGGAGAGGCAAAUGGAAUUCCUAGUGUAGCGGUGAAAUGCGUAGAUAUUAGGAAGAACACCAGUGGCGAAGGCGAUUUGCUGGACACUAACUGACGCUGAGGCGCGAAAGCGUGGGGAGCAAACAGGAUUAGAUACCCUGGUAGUCCACGCCGUAAACGAUGGAUACUAGGUGUGGGGGGUCUGACCCCCUCCGUGCCGCAGUUAACACAAUAAGUAUCCCACCUGGGGAGUACGAUCGCAAGGUUGAAACUCAAAGGAAUUGACGGGGGCCCGCACAAGCGGUGGAGUAUGUGGUUUAAUUCGAAGCAACGCGAAGAA
rnacentral:rRNA from 1 species